rnacentral:rRNA from 1 species
AAAUUGAAGAGUUUGAUCAUGGCUCAGAUUGAACGCUGGCGGCAGGCCUAACACAUGCAAGUCGAACGGUAACAGGAAGAAGCUUGCUUCUUUGCUGACGAGUGGCGGACGGGUGAGUAAUGUCUGGGAAACUGCCUGAUGGAGGGGGAUAACUACUGGAAACGGUAGCUAAUACCGCAUAACGUCGCAAGACCAAAGAGGGGGACCCUCGGGCCUCUUGCCAUCGGAUGUGCCCAGAUGGGAUUAGCUUGUUGGUGGGGUA